ACGAAGGGGGCUAGCGUUGCUCGGAAUCACUGGGCGUAAAGCGCACGUAGGCGGCUUCUUAAGUCAGGGGUGAAAUCCUGGAGCUCAACUCCAGAACUGCCUUUGAUACUGAGGAGCUUGAGUCCGGGAGAGGUGAGUGGAACUGCGAGUGUAGAGGUGAAAUUCGUAGAUAUUCGCAAGAACACCAGUGGCGAAGGCGGCUCACUGGCCCGGUACUGACGCUGAGGUGCGAAAGCGUGGGGAGCAAACAGGA
rnacentral:rRNA from 1 species